rnacentral:ncRNA from 1 species
UAAAACAAGUUCGGAGAGGUCCGAAAGUCACUGUCCCUAUCUACUAUCUAGCGAAACCACAGCCAAGGGAACGGGCUUGGAAUAAUUAGCGGGGAAAGAAGACCCUUUUGAGCUUGACUCUAAUCUGGCAGUGUAAGGAGACAUAAGAGGUGUAGAAUAAGUGGGAGAUAUUAGACCUCGGUUUGGAUCGUCAAUGAAAUACCACUCUCUUAUUGUUUCCUUCCUACUUGAUUAAUGGAACGUGUAUCAUUUCC